AAGGCUUGACAUACACCGGAAACAUGCAGAGAUGUGUGCCCCGCAAGGUCGGUGUACAGGUGGUGCAUGGUUGUCGUCAGCUCGUGUCGUGAGAUGUUGGGUUAAGUCCCGCAACGAGCGCAACCCUCGUUCCAUGUUGCCAGCACGUAAUGGUGGGGACUCAUGGGAGACUGCCGGGGUCAACUCGGAGGAAGGUGGGGAUGACGUCAAAUCAUCAUGCCCCUUAUGUCUUGGGCUUCACGCAUGAUACAAUGGCCGGUACAGAGUGUUGCGAUGCCGUGAGGCGGAGCGAAUCACUAAAAGCCGGUCUCAGUUCGGAUUGGGGUCUGCAACUCGACCCCAUGAAGUCGGAGUCGCUAGUAAUCGCAGAUCAGCAACGCUGCGGUGAAUACGUUCCCGGGCC
rnacentral:rRNA from 1 species